rnacentral:rRNA from 1 species
AAAUUGAAGAGUUUGAUCAUGGCUCAGAUUGAACGCUGGCGGCAGGCCUAACACAUGCAAGUCGAGCGGUAACACAGGGAGCUUGCUCCCGGGUGACGAGCGGCGGACGGGUGAGUAAUGUCUGGGAAACUGCCUGAUGGAGGGGGAUAACUACUGGAAACGGUAGCUAAUACCGCAUAACGUCGCAAGACCAAAGAGGGGGACCUUCGGGCCUCUUGCCAUCAGAUGUGCCCAGAUGGGAUUAGCUAGUAGGUGGGGUAACGGCUCACCUAGGCGACGAUCCCUAGCUGGUCUGAGAGGAUGACCAGCCACACUGGAACUGAGACACGGUCCAGACUCCUACGGGAGGCAGCAGUGGGGAAUAUUGCACAAUGGGCGCAAGCCUGAUGCAGCCAUGCCGCGUGUAUGAAGAAGGCCUUCGGGUUGUAAAGUACUUUCAGCGGGGAGGAAGGUGUUGAGGUUAAUAACCUCAGCAAUUGACGUUACCCGCAGAAGAAGCACCGGCUAACUCCGUGCCAGCAGCCGCGGUAAUACGGAGGGUGCAAGCGUUAAUCGGAAUUACUGGGCGUAAAGCGCACGCAGGCGGUCUGUCAAGUCGGAUGUGAAAUCCCCGGGCUCAACCUGGGAACUGCAUUCGAAACUGGCAGGCUAGAGUCUUGUAGAGGGGGGUAGAAUUCCAGGUGUAGCGGUGAAAUGCGUAGAGAUCUGGAGGAAUACCGGUGGCGAAGGCGGCCCCCUGGACAAAGACUGACGCUCAGGUGCGAAAGCGUGGGGAGCAAACAGGAUUAGAUACCCUGGUAGUCCACGCCGUAAACGAUGUCGACUUGGAGGUUGUGCCCUUGAGGCGUGGCUUCCGGAGCUAACGCGUUAAGUCGACCGCCUGGGGAGUACGGCCGCAAGGUUAAAACUCAAAUGAAUUGACGGGGGCCCGCACAAGCGGUGGAGCAUGUGGUUUAAUUCGAUGCAACGCGAAGAACCUUACCUACUCUUGACAUCCAGAGAACUUUCCAGAGAUGGAUUGGUGCCUUCGGGAACUCUGAGACAGGUGCUGCAUGGCUGUCGUCAGCUCGUGUUGUGAAAUGUUGGGUUAAGUCCCGCAACGAGCGCAACCCUUAUCCUUUGUUGCCAGCGGUCCGGCCGGGAACUCAAAGGAGACUGCCAGUGAUAAACUGGAGGAAGGUGGGGAUGACGUCAAGUCAUCAUGGCCCUUACGAGUAGGGCUACACACGUGCUACAAUGGCGCAUACAAAGAGAAGCGACCUCGCGAGAGCAAGCGGACCUCAUAAAGUGCGUCGUAGUCCGGAUUGGAGUCUGCAACUCGACUCCAUGAAGUCGGAAUCGCUAGUAAUCGUAGAUCAGAAUGCUACGGUGAAUACGUUCCCGGGCCUUGUACACACCGCCCGUCACACCAUGGGAGUGGGUUGCAAAAGAAGUAGGUAGCUUAACCUUCGGGAGGGCGCUUACCACUUUGUGAUUCAUGACUGGGGUGAAGUCGUAACAAGGUAACCGUAGGGGAACCUGCGGUUGGAUCACCUCCUUA